rnacentral:rRNA from 1 species
UACAGAGGUCUCAAGCGUUGUUCGGAUUCAUUGGGCGUAAAGGGUGCGUAGGUGGCAUGGUAAGUCGGAUGUGAAAUCCCGGGGCUCAACCCCGGAACUGCAUUCGAUACUGCUGAGCUAGAGUACUGGAGAGGAGAUUGGAAUUUACGGUGUAGCAGUGAAAUGCGUAGAGAUGUGGAGGAAUACCGAUGGCGAAGGCAGCCUCCUGGGCCAACACUGACGCUCAUGCACGAAAGCGUGGGGAGCAAACAGG